rnacentral:rRNA from 1 species
UACGAAGGGGGUGAGCGUUGUUCGGAAUUACUGGGCGUAAAGGGCGCGUAGGCGGCGAACCAAGUCAGAUGUGAAAGUCCUGGGCUUAACCUGGGGACUGCAUUUGAUACUGGUUUGCUUGAAUUCGGGAGAGGAUAGCGGAAUUCCCAGUGUAGAGGUGAAAUUCGUAGAUAUUGGGAAGAACACCGGUGGCGAAGGCGGCUAUCUGGACCGACAUUGACGCUGAGGCGCGAAAGCGUGGGGAGCAAACAGG